rnacentral:rRNA from 1 species
GGAAUUUUGGACAAUGGGCGCAAGCCUGAUCCAGCCAUGCCGCGUGGGUGAAGAAGGCCUUCGGGUUGUAAAGCCCUUUCGGCUGGGACGAAAAGGUCCGCGUUAACACCGCGGAUCCAUGACGGUACCAGCAGACGAAGCACCGGCUAACUACGUGCCAGCAUCCGCGGUAAUACGUAGGGUGCAGGCGUUAAUCGGAAUUACUGGGCGUAAAGCGUGCGCAGGCGGUCUUUUAAGUCAGAUGUGAAAUCCCCGGGCUUAACCUGGGAACUGCGUUUGAAACUGAAAGGCUAGAGUGUGGCAGAGGGGGGUGGAAUUCCACGUGUAGCAGUGAAAUGCGUAGAGAUGUGGAGGAACACCGAUGGCGAAGGCAGCCCCCUGGGCUAACACUGACGCUCAUGCACGAAAGCGUGGGGAGCAAAC